AUGAGAACUGACGAGUGCAACUGUGGAGAGGGAGUGAAUGAGGAGGGGAGCCAGGAUCUUUUUGUGGAGGCUGAUGUAUCACCGAGAGCAGAAGAAGAUGAUGGAAGACAGGACGUGGUGGAGGGUGGAGAGACGGAGAACGCAAGAAGGGAGAAGAUGGAACAGAAGACGAAUGAAAUAGGGAGCAGUAUGGAUUCAGAAAUAAGAAGAGGGAGUUUUCAGGAAGAGAGGGGGAGAGGGCUGGGUGGAGGAACUGGGGACUCACAUGUGGGUGCCUCGGAAGGAGGUGAAGUGGAGUGGGAUGCUGACAACGAUACAGGAGACGGAAAUGGAUACAGGAAGCACAACGGGCACAGGAAAUAAGAGUUUGAGUUGGUUGGAAGAUAUGGAUUUAGAGGCAAUUUCAGAUUCAGAAGACAUGGAAAAGAUUGAUAGAACAAGGUGAAGCUACAGGUAGAGGAAAGCGGCGGCGGAGCUGAAAAAGGACGGAAUAGGAAGGAAAACAUGACAACAGGUAGAGAAUAAUGAAAAAAUAUUUUUUAUUUGUAUUAUUUAUUGCAAUGGUUGGUUAUAUGUCAAUCAAUGUGAAUGGUUUAAGAACAAUGGAACAUUUUCAAAGAAUAUUAAAAAUGAAGAAUUUUGAUAUUUUAUGCCUUCAAGAAACACAUUGGGACAAUGUAUGUAUUUUAGAAGUUAAAACAAUAUGGAGAGAUUUUAUUUUUGUUAACAAUGGCAGGAGGAAUUCAUGUGGUGUUGCUAUUUUAUUGAGGAAGGAUGUGGUAGAGAAUGUGAAACAUAUAAUGAUAAUAAUGGGAGGAUUUUAAUUUUGGAUUUUGAAUAUAUGAGUAUGGUUUUUAGAAUAAUACUGAAAUAGAGCGCAAAGAUUUAUUUUUAGAAUUAGGGAAAUGGUGUGAGGGGAACUGUAUUGUAGUUGGGGAUUUUAAUGUUAAAAUGGAUAGACAAGAGGAGCUAUUGUUGGGGAAUAAUCAGAAUUGGUGGUAACAUACAGUGCCUUGCGAAAGUAUUCGGCCCCCUUUAACUUUGCAACCUUUUGCCACAUUUCAGGCUUCAAACAUAAAGAUAUAAAACUGUAUUUUUUUGUGAAGAAUCAACAACAAGUGGGACACAAUCAUGAAGUGGAACGACAUUUAUUGGAUAUUUCAAACUUUUUUAACAAAUCAAAAACUGAAAAAUUGGGCGUGCAAAAUUAUUCAGCCCCCUUAAGUGAAUACUUUGUAGCGCCACCUUUUGCUGCGAUUACAGCUGUAAGUCGCUUGGGGUAUGUCUCUAUCAGUUUUGCACAUCGAGAGACUGAAAUUUUUUCCCAUUCCUCCUUGCAAAACAGCUCGAGCUCAGUGAGGUUGGAUGGAGAGCAUUUGUGAACAGCAGUUUUCAGUUCUUUCCACAGAUUCUCGAUUGGAUUCAGGUCUGGACUUUGACUUGGCCAUUCUAACACCUGGAUA
rnacentral:lncRNA from 13 species